GAUGAAUGCUGGCGGCGUGCCUAACACAUGCAAGUCGAGCGGCAGCGAGGGGUGCUUGCACCCUGUCGGCGAGCGGCGAACGGCUGAGUAACGCGUAGGAAUUUGCCCCAAAGUGAGGAAUAACUGCCCGAAAGGGUAGCUAAUGCCGCAUAUGGUCUUCGGAUUAAAGGAUUUAUCCGCUUUGGGAGAAGCCUGCGUUGGAUUAGGUUGUUGGUAGGGUAAUGGCCUACCAAGCCGACGAUCCAUAGCUGGUCUGAGAGGAUGAUCAGCCAGACUGGAACUGAGACACGGUCCAGACUCCUACGGGAGGCAGCAGUGAGGAAUCUUCCACAAUGGGCGUAAGCCUGAUGGAGCAACGCCGCGUGAAGGAUGAAGGCCUUCGGGUUGUAAACUUCUUUUAUGAGUGAAGAAUAUGACGGUAACUCGUGAAUAAGCACCGGCUAACUACGUG
rnacentral:rRNA from 1 species